rnacentral:misc_RNA from 1 species
GAUGAAGAACGCAGCGAAAUGCGAUAAGUAGUGUGAAUUGCAGAAUUCAGUGAAUCAUCGAAUCUUUGAACGCACAUUGCGCUCCUUGGUAUUCCAUGGGGCAUGCCUGUUCGAGCGUCAUUUGUACCCUCAAGCUCUGCUUGGUGUUGGGUGUUUGUCUCGCGGUUCUGCGCAGACUCGCCUUAAAACAAUUGGCAGCCGGCUUGUUAGCCUGGAGCGCAGCACAUAUUGCGCCUCUUGCUAGCGACUGCCCGGCACCCAUCAAGCCCAUUUAUUUGCUCUUGACCUCGGAUCAGGUAGGGAUACCCGCUGAACUUAAGCAUAUCAAUAAGCGGAGGA